rnacentral:rRNA from 1 species
AUUGAACGCUGGCGGCAGGCCUAACACAUGCAAGUCGAGCGGUAGCACAGGGAGCUUGCUCCUGGGUGACGAGCGGCGGACGGGUGAGUAAUGUCUGGGAAACUGCCUGAUGGAGGGGGAUAACUACUGGAAACGGUAGCUAAUACCGCAUAACGUCGCAAGACCAAAGAGGGGGACCUUCGGGCCUCUUGCCAUCAGAUGUGCCCAGAUGGGAUUAGCUAGUAGGUGGGGUAACGGCUCACCUAGGCGACGAUCCCUAGCUGGUCUGGGAGGGUGACAGAGCACACUGGAACGGAGACACGGUCCAGACUCCUACGGGAGGCAGCAGUGGGGAAUAUUGGACAAUGGGGGCAGGCCUGAUGCAGCCAUGCCGCGUGUAUGAAGAAGGCCUUCGGGUUGUAAAGUACUUUCAGCGGGGAGGAAGGCGAUAAGGUUAAUAACCUUGUCGAUUGACGUUACCCGCAGAAGAAGCACCGGCUAAUUCCGUGCCAGCAGCCGCCGUAA